rnacentral:rRNA from 1 species
GCUUACGGCCACACCGCCUGGUUCACGUCCGAUCUCGUUUGAUCUCGGAAGCUAAAAUAGGUUGGGCCUGGUUAGUACUUGCAUGGGAGACUGCCUGGGAAUACCAUGUCUGUAAGCU